GACGAACGCUGGCGGCGUGCUUAACACAUGCAAGUCGAGCGGUAAGGCCCUUUCGGGGGUACACGAGCGGCGAACGGGUGAGUAACACGUGGGUGACCUGCCCUCAGCUCUGGGAUAAGCCUGGGAAACUGGGUCUAAUGCUGGAUAUGACUCCACGGUGCAUGUCGUGGGGUGGAAAGCCUUGUGCGGCUGAGGAUGGGCCCGCGGCCUAUCAGCUUGUUGGUGGGGUGAUGGCCUACCAAGGCGACGACGGGUAGCCGGCCUGAGAGGGCGACCGGCCACACUGGGACUGAGACACGGCCCAGACUCCUACGGGAGGCAGCAGUGGGGAAUCUUGCGCAAUGGGCGAAAGCCUGACGCAGCGACGCCGCGUGCGGGAAGAAGGCCUCGGUGUAACG
rnacentral:rRNA from 1 species